GCCCGCCAUCUUGCCUUCCUGCGCCGGGCCGGACAGCUCCCCUGCGGAAUCCGGGCGAAUUCCAGCAGGAGGUACUUGCCCAGCCCCAUUCACUGGCACUGAUUGGACCAAUACAGGCGUCAUGACCUUUGAAAUUUACCUGCCGACGUUCUCAGACCAGCUGCGUGGUGUGUAACUCCGGUGGAACGUCCUAGUGUGUAACCCUGAAGGGGGGGCUUCCGAUGGGGAGCUGGAACAAAGAACAGGGGGACUGCUCCAGAAGCACCACGGUGGCCUUCCAGCAAGCCUGGCGCGUGGCCGGCUCCAGAGCAGCGCCUGCAUCCAGCCACAAAGCAGGGCACUGAGUAUGGAGCAAAAGGAUUGAAGUCUUGUGGCUGGGCUCCCUAGCGCACCAGGCCCUCUCUCCGGCCCCUGCACCCGACAGGUGUCUCGUCAGUUGUAAGCUCCUUGGGGCAGGGACCUGGCACAUAAGUGAGUCCUAUGAUGAUAAAUUCUCAGCCAUCUCCUCCACCCUCGUCCUUCUCUUUGUGGCCAAGUGCUAUUGCUGCCUCACCCCGGCAAGAAAAGCCUUCUCUUCGCUUGGCUGUGUUUUGGCCACAGCCUAGUCACUGGCAAGUAAGAUUUGGGUCUUACAGGGAACAAACUGCUCUGACGCCUUGUUCCCUGCCCCGCCCGCUGUUGCUGUCUGUCUUGCCUUCUCCGGGGCUUUGCAAACGUCGUGUU